rnacentral:snRNA from 1 species
GUACUUCAGAAGCACAUAUACUAAAAUUGAAAUACUCCAGAGAUAUUAGCACGGCCCAUGUACAAGGAUGGCACAUAAAUCAAACAAGACCAAAUAUUA